CUCAUCUAGAGCAGCGGAGGGAGUGGCCCGAUGAAACUGCGGCAACCAUUGACUUUGUCGAUAAGGUGCCAAUUCCUUUAGGUAUAUGCCUAUGAGAUGAGA
rnacentral:ncRNA from 1 species